GGAGGAGGAGGACGGGCACGGACGGAGGAGGACAGAGCACCUCUCUUCUUCUAGGUUAGUGAGCAGCAUCAGGAGGAGGAGCUCAAGCACGACCACCAAGAGGCACCAUCGCAGCAGCAGAUGAGUCCGUCGAUGAAGCGGCAGCGUCUCCUCUAGAGGGUGACGGUGGCGGCGGUGCCUGUGUGCGGCUUCGACUAC